CCUAUUGUGUUGGCCUUCG
rnacentral:siRNA from 1 species